UACGUAGGGGGCGAGCGUUGUCCGGAUUUAUUGGGCGUAAAGAGCGUGUAGGCGGCCAGGUAGGUCUGCUGUGAAAACUCGAGGCUCAACCUCGAGACGUCGGCGGAACCAUCUGGCUAGAGUCCGGAAGAGGAGAGUGGGAAUUCCUGGUUGUAGCGUGGAAAUGCGCAGAGUAUCAGGAAGAACACCCGUGGCGAAGGCGGCUCUCUGGACGUACUGGACGCUGAGG
rnacentral:rRNA from 1 species